CAGCCGCCGCGGGAAUACGUAGGGUGCGAGCGUUAAUCGGAAUUACUGGGCGUAAAGCGUGCGCAGGCGGUUUUGUAAGACAGAGGUAAAAUCCCCGGGCUCAACCUGGGAACUGCCUUUGUGACUGCAAGGCUAGAGUACGGCAGAGGGGGAUGGAAUUCCGCGUGUAGCAGUGAAAUGCGUAGAUAUGCGGAGGAACACCGAUGGCGAAGGCAAUCCCCUGGGCCUGUACUGACGCUCAUGCACGAAAGCGUGGGGAGCAAACAGGAUUAGAUACCCCUGUAGUCCCUGUCUCUUAUAU
rnacentral:rRNA from 1 species